AGGUGAACCCCGACAGAUCUUCAGUUGCUUUUCAGAAGCUGCGAGAAAGAAGUCAAGGUUAAGGAACGAUGAGAAGAUGGCGGUACUGAACCUUGAACCCGUGGGUUAGACGCACUCCACCUGCCAUCCCUAACGAAGGUUGUGAAGACUUGCGUGUCCUCCAGGCAGCCUAAUCAGCCCACAGUCCUCCCUUCCCUCCUGGCGAGAGCACUUCCUGAGUGAAGGACGAAGGCUGGAGGAGCCCAGGGCUCCGGAUCCGGUGGGUGUAGACCCCUCCCCCCCACCGCCGCCAGGACGGACACCAGCUGGUCCCGUGGGCCGGUCCAGCAUCUCAGCUCCCAGGGAGGCGAGCCUGACCCGGAGCGAGGACGUGACUGCCCGAGGUAACCGUCU